rnacentral:misc_RNA from 1 species
GAUGAAGAACGCAGCGAAAUGCGAUACUUGGUGUGAAUUGCAGAAUCCCGUGAACCAUCGAGUCUUUGAACGCAAGUUGCGCCCGAAGCCACUAGGCCGAGGGCACGCCUGCCUGGGCGUCACAUGCCGUUGCCCCCCCAUCUACUCCUUCGGGAUUGCGGGGGGGCGGAUGAUGGCCUCCUGUGCGCCUAGCCGCGCGGUUGGCAUAAAUACCAAGUCCUCGGCGACGCACGCCACGACAAUCGGUGGUUGCGAAACCUCGGUUGCCCGUCGUGUGCGUUCGUCGCGCAUCGAGGGCUCGAAAAAAUGCUCGGCUCCGGCUGGGCUUUCAACGCGACCCCAGGUCAGGCGGGGUUACCCGCUGAAUUUAAGCAUAUCAAUAAGCGGAGGA